AUUUAUUGAAAUUGAACUUAUUCAUGGAAAUUGAUUUUAUUGAUCGGGAUACCGGAUGAGUAAAGUGGUAGCGGGUGCUUGGUGUUGGCGCCGCCUUCGAUGGCGAUGCCGAGGAUGGGCUUGGUCUUCUUGACGGUGAUGUGCAGGUUGCCGUGGUGGUCGGGCACCACGCGCGCCGCCCGCGCUUCGUCGGCCUCGCCGUGCUGCAGCCGCUGCAUCGACUGGUGCCGCCGGAUGCCGCCCCGCUCCUCCAACAACGCACCACUAUCCUCUUUCAUGUCGAAACUUCUCGACAAAUUGUGUGCUAACUCCUAUAAAAAGUUUACACAUUUA